rnacentral:misc_RNA from 1 species
AACGCACGAGACCUGCGGACCUGCGGAGGGAUCAUUACUGAGUGAGGGCCCUCUGGGUCCAACCUCCCACCCGUGUUUAUCGUACCUUGUUGCUUCGGCGGGCCCGCCUCACGGCCGCCGGGGGGCACCUGCCCCCGGGCCCGCGCCCGCCGAAGACAUCAUUGAACUCUGUCUGAAGAUUGCAGUCUGAGUAGAUUAGCUAAAUCAGUUAAAACUUUUAGCAACGGAUCUCUAGAUCGG